UUUGCCUAGUAAUAAAAAACAAAUGACAUGAAGAAAUCAGAUGUAGCCCAAGAGUGAUGCCUGAUUAUUUAGUUUUAAUGAAGCCAGGUGUUACAUGUGAUGGGGAACAAACAAUUUACUUCACAGAUUCAUAUGACCCUUUUAGGCUGCAUCGAACCAUUCAAUGCAGAAUUGAGUCGCAUUUUUUACUUACACCUCAACUUUGUACCAAAGCAGUUAUAAUAUCUACGAAGAAUUCAGAGCUAGGAGGACUAAAAUUUUUUUCCCUUUCUUUAGGUGGCCACAUAUCAGGAAACGCUGAGCAUGCAUUCCCUUUGUCAAGACCGCCCUCUCAAGAAGAAUCUAAGCCCUUUCCCUAGAAAUUGAUCUUAGUGAUUUUUCCACUGUCUCUAUGAAGCUAACUUUAAUUUCUUCUGAGGUAGCUUAAGUCAACUGUUUGCAUUAUAUUCACUGCACAUGGGAAAGAAUUCUUACUACCUUCUUGAAGUAGCCCUGUGUAGAUUUCAAGGGUAAACAAUUUAGGAUACAGCCUCUUAAGGUUAACUAUGGCCAGAUUUCUUAACUUACUUUGAUACUUUUACUUGUAUUAACAUAUU
rnacentral:lncRNA from 1 species